UACAGAGGUCUCAAGCGUUGUUCGGAUUCAUUGGGCGUAAAGGGUGCGUAGGCGGCGCGGUAAGUCGGGGGUGAAAUCCUGGAGCUCAACUCCAGAACUGCCUUCGAUACUGGCGAUCUUGAGUCCGGAAGAGGUGAGUGGAACUCCUAGUGUAGAGGUGGAAUUCGUAGAUAUUAGGAAGAACACCCGUGGCGAAGGCGGCUCUCUGGGACGGUACUGACGCUGAGACGCGAAAGCGUGGGGAGCGAACAGG
rnacentral:rRNA from 1 species